rnacentral:rRNA from 1 species
UGAGGAAUCUUGCGCAAUGGGGGAAACCCUGACGCAGCAACGCCGCGUGAGUGAGGAAGGUCUUCGGAUUGUAAAGCUCUGUCAGGUGGAAAGAAGUGCAUGGGGGUUAAGAGCUGCCAUGUUUGACGGUACCACCAAAGGAAGCACCGGCUAACUCCGUGCCAGCAGCCGCGGUAAUACGGGGGGUGCAAGCGUUACCCGGUUUUAUUGGGCGUAAAGAGUCUGUAGGCGGCCUUUCAAGUCUUAUCUUAAAGAUCCUGGCUCAACCAGGAAGAGGGGUAGGAUACUGAAAGACUAGAGUUAUAUCGGAGUUACUGGAAUUUGUAGUGUAGGGGUUAAAUCCGUGGAUACUACAAAGAACACCAAGCGCGAAGGCGGGUAACUAGGUAUAUACUGACGCUCAGAGACGAAAGCUAGGGAAGCAAAUCAG